CGGACCGGCGCACGGGUGAGUAACGCGUAUGCAACUUACCUAUCAGGAGGGGGAGUAACCCGGCGAAAGUCGGACUAAUACCGCAUGAAGCAGGGGCCCCGCAUGGGGAUAUUUGCUAAAGAUUCAUCGCUGAUAGAUAGGCAUGCGUUCCAUUAGGCAGUUGGCGGGGUAACGGCCCACCAAACCGACGAUGGAUAGGGGUUCUGAGAGGAAGGUCCCCCACAUUGGUACUGAGACACGGACCAAACUCCUACGGGAGGCAGCAG
rnacentral:rRNA from 1 species